rnacentral:ribozyme from 1 species
CACAGAGUGACACGGGCGCGAGCCUUCGCCCGUGGUAAUGUGGCGAGCCGGUCACAAGCCCGG